rnacentral:rRNA from 1 species
CGGUAAUUCCAGCUCCAAUAGCGUAUAUUAAAGUUGUUGCUGUUAAAAAGCUCGUAGUUGAACUUCUGACAGCGGGCAGGUUUGGCUUUGGCCAGCCUGUUCGUUGUCAUCCGUCUGCAAACCUUGUACGUCCUUCAGUGGUUCGGCAAGGGGAGUAGACAAUUUACUUUGAAAAAAUUAGAGUGUUCAAAGCAGGUAUUAGCCUGAAUACUUUAGCAUGGAAUAAUGGAAUACGACUCUUGUCUAUUUAUGUUGGUUAUUAGACUUGAGUAAUGAUUAAUAGGGACAGUUGAAGGCAUUAGUACUUAAUUGUCAGAGGUGAAAUUCAUGGAUUUAUUAAAGACUAACUAAUGCGAAAGCAUUUGCCAAGGAUGUUUUCAUUAAUCAAGAAUGAAAGUUCGAGGAUAGACAGCGAUCAGACACCACUUUAUUUCGAACUAUAAACUAUACCGAUUUGAGAUAGCCAAUUUUAAUCGAAUAAUUGGCUGCAUCACAUGAGAAAUCCAAAUCUUUGGGUUCUGGGGGGAGUAUGGUCGCAGGAUUG